UAAGGGAGUGGAGGUUAGAGAGAGUGUAGCUCUUCUAGAACCUAAGUUGUGCAUGGCCAAAAGGUGAUAGGAACAGAACCUGUUCAUGCUGCUUCAGGGAUUUUGUCCCUAGUUGCCACCGAACCAAAUAAGAAUCACUUGUGUCAGCCACACACCGUUCUACUGGGAUCAGUGAUAACGUACCUCUUCCUCCACAGAAUAAAACAGAGGGGAAAAUGUACAUGAUGCUACAGGAUGGCUUAUGUUGACGGUAUCUAUUUGCAGAAC